UACAGAGGUCCCGAGCGUUGUUCGGAUUCACUGGGCGUAAAGGGUGCGUAGGUGGCAUGUUAAGUUUGAUGUGAAAGCUCAGGGCUUAACCCUGAAAUGGCAUUGAAUACUAGCGUGCUGGAGGUUUGGAGGGGGGACUGGAAUUCUCGGUGUAGCAGUGAAAUGCGUAGAUAUCGAGGGGAACACCAGUGGCGAAGGCGAGUCCCUGGACAACACCUGACACUGAGGCACGAAAGCCGGGGGAGCAAACAGG
rnacentral:rRNA from 1 species